rnacentral:misc_RNA from 1 species
AAACUAUUAUGUUACCGUGUUGGGAUAUCAGCAUCAUGUAAACAAGCAAAAGCAUAAAGGGCACAUUGACUGAUGAAACUCAUCCUACCAAAACCAAAGUACUUGUCUCUAUUCUAAAUCAUUUAUUCACAUAUUCAGUAUCCCAAGUUCAUACAAUUUUUUUUUCCAGUUUUGUCUUUGUCAGUAAGUUCCAACAUUCAGUGAAGG